CUGAUGUUAUGCCUUGGAGGAAGAGUGUUCUCUUAAUAUUAUAAAAGUCCUUUUGUUUUGCUAAAUAUUUACAUGAUGAGUCUGAUGUUAUGCCUUGGAGGAAGAGUGUUCUCUUAAUAUUAUAAAAGUCCUUUUGUUUUGCUAAAUAUUUACAUGAUGAGUCUGAUGUUAUGCCUUGGAG